rnacentral:lncRNA from 1 species
GUAAGAUGAGAUUUCAUCCAACCUGAUCAAGUAUAAUCUUGGGUGUAAAAUAUCAUGUAUUUAAAGAUAUUUUUAAUACAUGUAUUCUCAUAUUGAAGAGAUAUGUUUACCUAUUUAGAGUAAGAUUUAUAGUCCCAUCUGUUGCUGAAGCAAUUGAAUGGCUUAGGUAUUAUUAUAGAAUUGACAUGGUCUCUAUGAGUAUGUGCUUAAACAAUAAAGC